UACGUAGGGACCAAGCGUUGUUCGGAUUUACUGGGCGUAAAGGGCGCGUAGGCGGCGCGGUAAGUCACUUGUGAAAUCUCUGAGCUUAACUCAGAACGGCCAAGUGAUACCGCAGUGCUAGAGUGUGGAAGGGGCAAUCGGAAUUCUUGGUGUAGCGGUGAAAUGCGUAGAUAUCAGGAGGAACACCUGAGGUGAAGACGGGUUGCUGGGCCAACACUGACGCUGAGGCGCGAAAGCCAGGGGAGCAAACGGG
rnacentral:rRNA from 1 species